rnacentral:rRNA from 1 species
UACGGAGGGGACUAGCGUUGUUCGGAAUUACUGGGCGUAAAGCGCACGUAGGCGGAUUUGUAAGUCAGGGGUGAAAUCCCGGGGCUCAACCUCGGAACUGCCUUUGAUACUGCAAAUCUCGAGUCCGGAAGAGGUGAGUGGAAUUCCUAGUGUAGAGGUGAAAUUCGUAGAUAUUAGGAAGAACACCAGUGGCGAAGGCGGCGAUCUGGACAGAUAUUGACGCUGAGGCGCGAAAGCUAGGGUAGCAAACGGG